rnacentral:rRNA from 1 species
UACGUAGGGGGCAAGCGUUGUCCGGAAUCAUUGGGCGUAAAGCGCGUGUAGGCGGCACGGUCAGUCUGGUGUGAAACCUUGGGGCUCAACCCCAAGCCUGCACUGGAUACUGCCGCGCUCGAGUCCGGGAGAGGGAAGCGGAAUUCCUAGUGUAGCGGUGAAAUGCGCAGAUAUUAGGAAGAACACCGAUGGCGAAGGCAGCUUCCUGGAACGGUACUGACGCUGAGACGCGAAAGCGUGGGGAGCGAACAGG